AUUGAACGCUGGCGGAAUGCUUUACACAUGCAAGUCGAACGGCAGCACGGACUUCGGUCUGGUGGCGAGUGGCGAACGGGUGAGUAAUACAUCGGAACGUGCCCAGUCGUGGGGGAUAACGUAGCGAAAGCUACGCUAAUACCGCAUACGAUCUAAGGAUGAAAGCGGGGGAUCGCAAGACCUCGCGCGAUUGGAGCGGCCGAUGGCAGAGUAGGUAGUUGGUAGGGUAAAGGACUACCAAGCCGACGAUCUGUCGCUGGUCUGAGCGGAUGAUCAGCCGCACUGGGACUGGGAAACGGCCCAGACUCCUCCGGGAGGCAGCAGUGGGGAAUUUUGGACAAUGGGCGCAAGCCUGAUCCAGCCAUUCCGCGUGCAGGAUGAAGGCCUUCGGGUUGUAAACUGCUUUUGUACAGAACGAAAAGGCUCUGGUUAAUACCCGGGGCUCAUGACGGUACUGUAAGAAUAAGCACCGGCUAACUACGUGCCAGCCGCCGCCGUAA
rnacentral:rRNA from 1 species